AAUAGUGGCAAGGUGAACCAUGAAUACGGCAAAUCCAAUGGGGAGUGGGGCCAAGACAGGGACAUGAGAGUCUCUGGCGCUUCGUUUAGGGUCGGUGGCGGAGAAGACAACAUAGACCAAUACAAAAGUACCAAUGAUUUCAGCAGCCAAACCAACACCCUUGGUGUGUCCUCCUGCCAUGACAUUAACACCACCACCAUAUCUAUUGUAGUAUGCACUUUGAAAAGCCUUAACAAAACCUACACCACAAAUUGCACCCAAACAUUGUGCUACCAUGUACAAUAUAGCCCUAAUCAAUGACACCUUCCUUGCCAAAAAUAGCCCAAAUGUCACAGCAGGGUUGAUGUGUCCACCAGAAAUACCAGCAGUACAGUAAACAAGAACAAAGAUCAUGCCACCAAAAGCCCAAGCAAUACCAAGUAAACCAACACCACCGCAAAUAUCGCCUCCGGCUUUAACAUCAGCUUGAUGUUUGUAACCAAUUACUGUAAGAAUAGUUAUAUAUAGAAAUAACAGAGUAGCAAUAAACUCCGCUAUUGCUGCUCUGUAUAGUGACCAUUUGGUCAAUUCCUCGAAAUCGAUCAGAGGAGCAGGCGGUGGAUCAGUGUAAUCCUUUGCGGAGUACUCCACCGCCUGCUCGUGAACCGCUUCGACUUCUUUCGUCAUCUGAGUGAAAACAGAGGAUGCUCUGUUUUUUUGUUAGAGAAAAACAGGGGAAAACAGAGUAUGCUCUGUUUUUUUUGUGUUAAGUUUUUUUUGUUUGGUGUGUAGAGUGAGAGAGUAGUGGUAUGGUAUUUAUGUUUGAUUAAGA
rnacentral:misc_RNA from 1 species